rnacentral:rRNA from 1 species
UAACGCGUUAAAUAUGCCGCCUGGGGAGUACAGUCGCAAGGCUGAAACUCAAAGGAAUUGACGGGGGCCCGCACAAGCGGUGGAGCAUGUGGUUCAAUUCGACGCAACGCGAAGAACCUUACCUGGGCUCGAACGGCUGGUCAACGGAGGUGGAAACAUCUUUACCCCGCAAGGGGGUCCAGUCGAGGUGCUGCAUGGCUGUCGUCAGCUCGUGUCGUGAGAUGUUGGGUUAAGUCCCGCAACGAGCGCAACCCUUGUCCUGUGUUGCCAUGGUGAAAACCGGAACUCGCAGGAGACCGCCAGCGAUAAGCUGGAGGAAGGUGGGGAUGACGUCAAGUCCUCAUGGCCUUUAUGUCCAGGGCUACACACGUGCUACAAUGGACGGUACAAAGCGUCGCUAACCUGCGAAGGGGAGCCAAUCGCAAAAAACCGUUCUCAGUUCGGAUUGCAGGCUGCAACUCGCCUGCAUGAAGCUGGAAUCGCUAGUAAUGGCAGAUCAGCACGCUGCCGUGAAUACGUUCCCGGGCCUUGUACACACCGCCCGUCACAUCACGAAAGUGGAUUGUACUAGAAGUCUGCAGGCUGACCCGCAAGGGGGGCAGCGGCCCAAGGUAUGAUCCAUGAUUGGGGUG